rnacentral:lncRNA from 1 species
CGUCUCCGCUGCAUCGAAGAGUACCUAUGCACUAUGUUCCGGUUCACUGAUAAGGAAGAUAGCGUUGGGGUGGGGGUCUACGAUGUGAUACUAAAGUAUGACCGGGGGAGAUGGACGACGAUAAGCCAUCGCCCAGUAGUGCUCUCUGAGCUUGAUUGCUCCGAGCGGUAGGUCACAAUCUGAAUUUCAGACUGAAAAGCGGAAAGUAAUAAGUUCAACCGGUAAGAGAAUGCGUUUAACCGAUUGAAAGCGUGAUAAG